CAUGGCGAGUUUGAUCCUGGCUCAGAGCGAACGCUGGCGGCGUACUUAACACAUGCAAGUCGAACGGGGAUCAUCGGGUUAGCAAUAAUUCGGUGAUCCUAGUGGCGCACGGGUGAGUAACACGUGGGUAACCUGCCCUGGAGCCCGGGAUACCCCCUCGAAAGGGGGGCUAAUACCGGAUACGUUCCUCGGGUCGGAAGAUCUGAGGAGGAAAGGUGGCGCAAGCUGCCGCUCUUGGAGGGGCUCGCGGCCUAUCAGCUAGUUGGCGGGGUAAUGGCCCACCAAGGCUAUGACGGGUAGCUGGUCUGAGAGGACGACCAGCCACACGGGGACUGAGACACGGCCCCGACUCCUACGGGAGGCAGCAGUGGGGAAUUUUCCGCAAUGGGCGAAAGCCUGACGGAGUGACGCCGCGUGUGGGACGAAGGCCUUCGGGUCGUAAACCACUGUCAGUGGGAAAGAUGGGUGUCGGCGCGAUAACCGCCGGCAUCUGACGGUACCUGCAGAGGAAGCCCCGGCUAACUCUGUGCCAGCAGCCGCGGUAAGACAGAGGGGGCAAGCGUUGCUCGGAAUUACUGGGCGUAAAGGGCGCGUAGGCGGGAUGGCAAGUCGGUCGUGAAAUCCCUCGGCUCAACUGAGGGGCGUCGAUCGAUACUGCCGUUCUUGAGGGUUGCAGAGGAGACUGGAAUUCCCGGUGUAGCGGUGAAAUGUGUAGAGAUCGGGAGGAACACCGGUGGCGAAGGCGGGUCUCUGGGCAACUCCUGACGCUGAGGCGCGAAAGCGUGGGGAGCAAACGGGAUUAGAUACCCCGGUAGUCCACGCUGUAAACGAUGACGACUAGGUGUGGGGGGGUUCAGUCCCCUCCGUGCCGCAGCUAACGCAUUAAGUCGUCCGCCUGGGGAGUACGGCCGCAAGGUUGAAACUCAAAGGAAUUGACGGGGGCCCGCACAAGCGGUGGAGCAUGUGGUUCAAUUCGAUGCAGAGCGAAGAACCUUACCUGGGCUUGACAUGCAGGAAGUAGAAACCGGAAACG
rnacentral:rRNA from 1 species